GAUGAAGAACGUAGCGAAAUGCGAUACGUAAUGUGAAUUGCAGAAUUCAGUGAAUCAUCGAGUCUUUGAACGCACAUUGCGCCCCCUGGUAUUCCGGGGGGCAUGCCUGUCCGAGCGUCAUUGCUGCCCUCAAGCACGGCUUGUGUGUUGGGCCUCCGUCCUCCUCCCGGGGGACGGGCCCGAAAGGCAGCGGCGGCACCGCGUCCGGUCCUCGAGCGUAUGGGGCUUCGUCACCCGCUCUUGUAGGCCCGGCCGGCGCUUGCCGACACAUCAAUCUUUUUUCCAGGUUGACCUCGGAUGAGGUAGGGAUACCCGCUGAACUUAAGCAUAUCAAUAAGCGGAGGA
rnacentral:misc_RNA from 1 species